rnacentral:rRNA from 1 species
GACGAACCGUGCAAACGUUGUUCGGAAUCACUGGGCUUAAAGGGCGCGUAGGCGGGCAAGCAAGUCCGGUGUGAAAUCUUUCGGCUCAACCGGAAAAGUGCCUUGGAUACUGCUUGUCUGGAGGGAGGUAGGGGCAUGCGGAACUUCUGGUGGAGCGGUGAAAUGCGUUGAUAUCAGAAGGAACGCCGGUGGCGAAAGCGGCGUGCUGGACCUCUUCUGACGCUGAUGCGCGAAAGCUAGGGGAGCAAACGGG